GGGCAAGUAGUGUAAUGGUUAUCGCGCCUGUUUCGCAUCCUCUAGGAACGUGAACGUUUACAGGAGGUUCGGAGUUCAAUUCUCCGCUUGUCCA